AGUAAUGUAUCGGAACGUGCCCAGUCGUGGGGGGUAACCGCUCGAAAGAGCAGCUAAUACCGCAUACGACCUGAGGGUGAAAGCGGGGGAUCGCAAGACCUCGCGCGAUUGGAGCGGCCGAUAUCAGAUUAGGUAGUUGGUGAGGUAAAGGCUCACCAAGCCGACGAUCUGUAGCUGGUCUGAGAGGACGACCAGCCACACUGGGACUGAGACACGGCCCAG
rnacentral:rRNA from 1 species